UAACUUCAAGACUUAUAAAUAAAAUCUUCAAUAUAUAUUACGUCAAUUCAUGUCUACAACAAAUCAAGGUUAAUUUAUCUAGGCAUUCAUUGUGCCAUCUUUUGUCUAUAACAAAUACAAAAUUAAACUUUACAAAUAUGAUUAUAACAAGUGAUGAUAAUUAAAUUUUAGCUCAAGUGUUGAGUAUCGAACUUACCUUAAUAUUUGCCAAGAGUUUCACCAUUUCACUUCAGCAUUUCACCAUUUCACCUCAGCAUUGAAGACUUAGAAAAGCAUAAUAAACUUAAGUAACUCAAACUUAGAUGAAGAAAACAUAAUAAAUAUAAGAAACUUAAGUUCUUACACAAAGAAAGAAACUAGAAAAAAAACAUAACAAAGAAAUUAUCUCAACUAUAAAGAAAAAUUAAAAAAGAAAAUGAUAUUAUAUCUCACAAUCUACAAUGCCAUUGCUUACACCAUUUCUUUUGUAUGAAACUAGACUCAAUAAGCUUUAAUUUCAUUAGAUUCAACCUCUAACUCAAUUUCUACAAUUUUUUGUGAAUUUUUAAAGUUGUGCUACCAUUACUGUCCAUAAAAUAUUUAGUGGAACAUUUUACUCUUCCAUAAUUUGAUUAAAUUCUUCUCAUUUCAUUACAUAACAUAAUACAUUCUAACUAAAUUCAAUGUCAAUACAUAUAAUCAUUAAAUUACACAAAUUUUCAUUACUAUUCAAAUUAAUUAUCUAGUUCAAUAAUCAAUUUCAAACAUAGCAUUUUAAACUCAAAUAAUCAUUUACAAUUUAUUUUGAUAUCAUACUUUGUAAAACAAAAUAAAUACGUAACAAAUAUAAUAAUUUAAUUUAUAGAAGUACAAACAUAAUAUGAAUUAAUUUAGUAAGUUCCAUACAAACAUACCUGUCAAUUCUAUAUCGAGCUCAAAAGUAAGGACUAUUUUGCAGUUUCUCUUUUCUCUCGAUUAUCUGUCGAUUGGUUCAAAACCCAAUCUAUAAUAUAAUUUAAUUUAAUUUAGCAAUGCUAAACAUCAUAUAACAACCUACAAUAGGCAUAAAUUAAUUCAAUUUCACUUUUCAACAUUUGCCUUAAGUUCACAUUUUAUUCAAUUUAGUCUCUAAAAUCAAAAUAGCUAUAUCUAUAAACUUGAUCUCCGAUUUUUAAACCGGUCUCAAUUUCAUCUUUUUAUAGCCCUCUAUUAACAUAAAUUACAGAAAUUUCAUACCAAUUUUGACAUAUUCAUAUUUUGGUCCCUAUCCUCAAAAUUAACAGAAUUCACUUUACGAAAUAGUCUUAUUUCACAACAAAGCUUCAAACUCAACCAAAAUACAUCAAAAACUCAAAUAUUCAUCAAUGGUAUUUUUUAAAAAAUUUAACAUUUUUGAAAACGGUAAAAUGAAUUAGCUAAAUCGAGUUACUAUGAUCUCAAAAACAUAAAAAUUACGAAAAACAAACUUCAAUCAAACUUACAAGCAAGGUUGAAAGCUUGGAAAGAAAAAGAAAAUGGCUUCUCUGGUUCAAAGCAGCCACGACAGAGAACAACAAGGAAGAAUGAUAGAAAAAUAAAAUAUCUUUCUUUCAUUUCAAUAUUAAAC
rnacentral:lncRNA from 1 species